rnacentral:rRNA from 1 species
GAUGAACGCUGGCGGCGUGCCUAAUACAUGCAAGUCGAGCGAACGGACGAGAAGCUUGCUUCUCUGAUGUUAGCGGCGGACGGGUGAGUAACACGUGGAUAACCUACCUAUAAGACUGGGAUAACUUCGGGAAACCGGAGCUAAUACCGGAUGAUAUUUUGAACCGCAUGGUUCAAAAGUGAAAGACGGUCUUGCUGUCACUUAUAGAUGGAUCCGCGCUGCAUUAGCUAGUUGGUAAGGUAACGGCUUACCAAGGCAACGAUGCAUAGCCGACCUGAGAGGGUGAUCGGCCACAGUGGAAAUGAGACACGGACAAGCCUCCGAGGGGGGGAAGAGGUGGGGAAUCUCCCGCAAGGGGCGAAGGCCGGAGGGAGAAACGCCGGGGGAGUAAAGAAUGUCUUCGGAUCUUAAAAUUCUUUUAUGGGGGAAAAAAAUAUGUGAAAGUAAUGGUGCACACUUGGACGGUACUAAACCAGAAAGCCACGACUAACUACGC